GAUGAACGCUGGCGGCGUGCCUAAUACAUGCAAGUCGAGCGAACGGACGAGAAGCUUGCUUCUCUGAUGUUAGCGGCGGACGGGUGAGUAACACGUGGAUAACCUACCUAUAAGACUGGGAUAACUUCGGGAAACCGUAGCUAAUACCGGAUAAUAUUUUGAACCGCAUGGUUCAAAAGUGAAAGACGGUCUUGCUGUCACUUAUAGAUGGAGCCGCGCUGCAUUAGCUAGUUGGUAAGGUAACGGCUUACCAAGGCAACGAUGCAUAGCCGACCUGCGAGGGUGAUCGGCCACACUGGAACUGAGACACGGUCCCGACUCCUACGGGAGGCAGCAGUAGGGAAUCUUCCGCAAUGGGCGAAAGCCUGACGGAGCAACGCCGCGUGAGUGAUGAAGGUCUUCGGAUCGUAAAACUCUGUUAUUAGGGAAGAACAUAUGUGUAAGUAACUGUGCACAUCUUGACGGUACCUAAUCAGAAAGCCACGGCUAACUACGUG
rnacentral:rRNA from 1 species